rnacentral:lncRNA from 1 species
GGAAGGCUAUGCCAAUGUCCGACCCGCGUCCAGCGUAUAGGAGCGCCCUGGCCCACAGCUGGCGGUAAAACGCGGGACCUGGGUCCCUCGGAGCCCCAGGGGCCUCUGAGCUGGAGUCUAGGAUUAUUUUUGAUGCCUCAGCACCUUUAAAAAGAGACCUCGCUAGAGCAGGGGGCAUCUGUAUUUUCAGUUCUUUGAGGAGUCUCCAGCUAUUUAGCUGUUUUCCAUGGUUCAUCUGCGUUGCUCUAAAUGGGACUGUUUCAUUAUUUUGAUGGCUGAAGAAUAUUUCCUAGUGUAUGUAUAUGAGAGUUUCUUGAUCUCUUUAUCUGUGGAUGAACAGCUACUUUGAAAUAUAUGAUACAUUUGUGUUAAGGCUAGUCACGCUGCUGUGGAAUAGAAGGCCAGAAUUGAUCACUAUCAUCUGAGAGUAACUUUGUACCCAUCACUGAUUCCUUCCGAGACUGCCUCCACUUCCCCAGCAGCCUCUGAUUUCUUCAUGUGGCUGCAGAUGGCAGGAUUUCCCAAAGGUUUAUGGCUGCAACAUAUUCCGUGGUGUAUCUGUACAGCAGUUUCCUCAUUCCUGCAGCUGUGUUUGAACAGGUCAUUUACCAUGCGGUCCUCCAGGUUCAACAGUAUGGCUCCAAAUGAUGAAAUUUCAUUCUGAUUUUCUGGCUGAAGACUAUUCUGUUUGUGUAUGUCCACCACAGUUACUUUAUCCCUUCAUCUGUGGAUGGGCAGGAAACUCCAAACUGUCCAAG